UGAUGUGUAAUGUAUAGCUAGGA
rnacentral:piRNA from 1 species